rnacentral:rRNA from 1 species
UACUGGUAAUUUGGGAAAUUGGAGGGGAAGCCUGAGACAGCGACGCCGCGUGGGGGAUGACGGCCUUCGGGUUGUAAACCUCUUUCGACCUUGACGAAGCCUUUCGGGGUGACGGUAGGGGUAGAAGAAGCACCGGCCAACUACGUGCCAGCAGCCGCGGUAAUACGUAGGGUGCGAGCGUUGUCCGGAAUUAUUGGGCGUAAAGAGCUCGUAGGCGGUCUGUCGCGUCGGUCGUGAAAACUUGGGGCUUAACCCUGAGCUUGCGGUCGAUACGGGCAUGACUGGAGUUCGGCAGGGGAGACUGGAAUUCCUGGUGUAGCGGUGAAAUGCGCAGAUAUCAGGAGGAACACCGGUGGCGAAGGCGGGUCUCUGGGCCGAUACUGACGCUGAGGAGCGAAAGCGUGGGGAGCGAACAGGAUUAGAUACCCUGGUAGUCCACGCCGUAAACGGUGGGCGCUAGGUGUGGGGGCCAUUCCACGGUCUCUGUGCCGCAGCUAACGCAUUAAGCGCCCC